rnacentral:tRNA from 1 species
UCCUCUGUAAGUUCAGUCGGUAGAACGGCGGACUGUUAAUCCGUAUGUCACUGGUUCGAGUCCAGUCAGAGGAGCCA